GACGAACGCUGGCGGCGUGCUUAACACAUGCAAGUCGAACGCUGAAGACCUGGCUUUUGUUGGGGUGGAUGAGUGGCGAACGGGUGAGUAACACGUGAGUAACCUGCCCUCUUCUUUGGGAUAACGCCCGGAAACGGGUGCUAAUACUGGAUAUUCACUGAUCUUCGCAUGGGGGUUGGUGGAAAGGGUUGUUCUGGUGGGGGAUGGGCUCGCGGCCUAUCAGCUUGUUGGUGGGGUGAUGGCCUACCAAGGCUUUGACGGGUAGCCGGCCUGAGAGGGGGACCUGUCACGUUGGGACUGCAAUACGGCCCAGACUCCUGCGGGAGGCAGCAGUGGGGGAUAUUGCACAAGGGGCGAACGCCUGAUGCGGCGGCGCGGCGUGAGGGAUGCAGGCCUUGGGGUUGUAAACCUCUUUCGCUCAUGGUCAAGCCGCAACUGUGGGUUGUGGUGAGGGUAGUGGGUAAAGAAGCGCCGGCUAACUACGUG
rnacentral:rRNA from 1 species